rnacentral:rRNA from 1 species
UACGGGGGGAGCAAGCGUUGUUCGGAUUUACUGGGCGUAAAGGGCGCGUAGGCGGCCACCGCAAGUCGACUGUGAAAUCUCCGGGCUUAACCCGGAAAGGUCAGCCGAUACUGCGGGGCUAGAGUGCAGAAGGGGCAACUGGAAUUCUCGGUGUAGCGGUGAAAUGCGUAGAUAUCGAGAGGAACACCUGCGGCGAAGGCGGGUUGCUGGGACGUUACUGACGCUGAGACGCGAAAGCGUGGGGAGCAAACAGG